AUCUUCCAGCCGAUUCACAAAAUCGUCGAGCUUGGACAGCUUCUGAUUCGAGUCUUUGAGCUUGGAGACCUCUUUCAGACACUGGUCAACUGUUUUCGGUACAAAGACCGGACCCAAAUCCAAGCUCAGCUCCAUUGCUCUGCUUUUUUUCUUUGGGUUUUCUGAUCUUCUUCUCUUUUCUGUCAAAUUGAAUUCCAAGGCGAUGAAGAAGAAGAAAGCUAAGGUCUUUAUAUGGAAGGAAGGAAAGGGGUGAGAAAGUGAAGGUGAGAGAUUCAGAGUAGAUGAAAAGAUUCGGGCUAAUCGGCUACGAGUCACCGCGUAUCUGAGUCGACUCGGGAGUGAGUCAGUAGGUGGCCGAGUUGGGUAGUUGGAUUUUGUUUAUUUUUUAAUUUGUUUUUGCUGUUUUUGGAAAUUUGGAAUCUUUUGUUUUUAUGGAGGGUUGUGAAUUCCCAUACGUAUGCGGCGAAUUGUGUGGUCUUUAGAAGUAGGGAUUUAUUUCCUUUUAAUGUGAAAGAUUAAUUGGAUUUAUUUUUCAAACAAAAAAAUUUAUGGUUAUCGGGUCGAAUCUAAAUGAUGUUUAUCACUCCCGUAAUAUGUAAUUUAGGCGGAUUUAUCAAUGUUGUAUUCAU
rnacentral:lncRNA from 1 species